rnacentral:rRNA from 1 species
CAGUCGCCGCGGUAAUGCGUAGGGUCCGAGCGUUGUCCGGAAUUAUUGGGCGUAAAGGGCUCGUAGGCGGUUUGUUGCGUCGGGAGUGAAAACCAGGUGCUUAACACCUGGCCUGCUUUCGAUACGGGCAGACUAGAGGCAUUCAGGGGAGAACGGAAUUCCUGGUGUAGCGGUGAAAUGCGCAGAUAUCAGGAGGAACACCGGUGGCGAAGGCGGUUCUCUGGGAAUGUUCUGACGCUGAGGAGCGAAAGUGUGGGGAGCGAACAGGAUUAGAUACCCCGGUAGUCCCUGUCUCUUAUAC